UAGCACAGCGUGACAGUGUCAGGGAUGUUAAUGGCCUUUUUAAAACUCAGCCCUGUUUUCAAGGCAACGAAUGAAUUUGUUGACCUCCGGCAUGCCAUUAUCUCAUUUCUCAGGACUCUGCUGGGCUGGAGGGAGAGUCAGUUGGGUUUUAACUGUAGACAUUGGACCAGCUUGUAUUUUCGUAAAUGUGGUGCAGGUGCCUAGUGCAAUGGUUAAGUGGCACAUUAAAUAAUUCUGUGAGAUACCAAAAGCUGUGGUAUGGCUGUGAGUUCACAAGCAUAGGAGUCAGGAAAUUUCCACCUAUGAGAUGUAAUCCCUGGCUUCCUUAGAGUCAGUGGUAAAAUGUCCAUUGACUUCCAAGGGGGCUGGAUUUCAUCCCGAUUCUCACAGCAAGUAAGGCAUGUUUUGCUUUGCUGUGGGUCAGAUCCUGCUUUGCUCGCCCACACCAGGAAUCCCACUGAUGUCACUAGGACUAGCCGUGUUAAUAAGGGGAGUAGGAUUUCAUCUAAUAAAUUUUAUAUGGUAUGGGCCUGAACUUGCACCCAUUGGAAUUAAUGAGAGUUUUGUCCCUAACUUCACUGGGACCCUGUAUAUGCAACUUCACUGAGUUAUAGCCAGUAUGGGAAGCAUAACGUUGAAUAUCUUGAUGUUUAUGCAAAAUCAGAGCCCUAGCAGUGAAUUAAUGGCUUCUGUUUAGUUUCCUU